rnacentral:rRNA from 1 species
CUGCUCAAUGAUUUUUUAAAUUGCUGUGGUAUUUUGACUAUACARAGGUAUUGUAAUAAGAUUUUAAUUGAAUGCUAAGAGAAUGGAAUUACAAAGAAUAACUAUUUUAAACUUAAAAAUUAAAUUUAUUUUAAUCUGUGAAGAARCAAUUAUAUAAAUUAAGGACAAGAAGACCCUAAGAAUUUUAAAAAUAGUAAUUUUUAGUUUCAAAGAAUGCUAUUUUUUAGUUGGGGCAACUAAGAAAUAUUAUAAACUUUUUUAAAAUAAAAUGAUCCAUUAUUAAUGAUUAUUUGAAAAAAUACUCUAGGGAUAACAGCGUAAUAAUUUUUGAUAGAACAUAUAGACAAAAUAGUUUGCGACCUCGAUGUUGGAUUAGGAUACUUUUUUAAUGAAGAUGUUAAAAAAAGAAGUUUGUUCAACUUUUAAAGUCCUGCUUGAUCUGAGUUCAGACCGG